GAUGAACGCUGGCGGCGUGCCUAAUACAUGCAAGUCGAGCGAACGGACGAGACGCUUGCUUUUCUGAUGUUAGCGGCGGACGGGUGAGUAACACGUGGAUAACCCACCUAUAAGACUGGGAUAACUUCGGGAAACCGGAGCUAAUACCGGAUAAUAUUUUGAACCGCAUGGUUCAAAAGUGAUAGACGGUCUUGCUGUCACUUAUAGCUGGAUCCUCGCUGCAUUAGCUAGUUGGUAAGGUAACGGCUUACCAAGGCAACGAUGCAUAGCCGACCUGAGAGGGUGAUCGGCCACAGUGGAACUGAGACACGGUCCAGACUCCUACGGGAGGCAGCAGUAGGGAAGCGUGCGCAAUGGGCGAAAGCCUGACGGAGCAACGCCGCGUGGGUGAUGAAGGUCUUCGGAUCGUAAAACUCUGUUAUUAGGGAAGAACAUAUGUGUAAGUAACUGAGCACAUCGUGACGGUACCUAAUCAGAAAGCCACGGCUAACUACGUG
rnacentral:rRNA from 1 species